GACGUAGGGCGCGAGCGUUGUCCGGAUUUAUUGGGCGUAAAGAGCUCGUAGGCGGUUUGUCGCGUCGACUGUGAAAUCUCGUGGCUCAACUGCGGGCUUGCAGUCGAUACGGGCAGGCUAGAGUUCGGUAGGGGAGACUGGAAUUCCUGGUGUAGCGGUGAAAUGCGCAGAUAUCAGGAGGAACACCGGUGGCGAAGGCGGGUCUCUGGGCAGUAACUGACGCUGAGGAGCGAAAGCGUGGGGAGCGAACAGG
rnacentral:rRNA from 1 species